CACGAAGUUGGCCGGGGCUUCUUCUCACGCUACCGUCAUCAUCGUCGCGUGCGAAAGGACUAUACAACCCUAGGGCCUUCGUCAUCCACGCGGCAUGGCUGGAUCAGGCUUGCGCCCAUUGUCCAAUAUUCCCCA
rnacentral:rRNA from 1 species